UGCCCCUGCCACCUUGGUCCGCAUCUCCGCGAACUCGCGGCGGUGAGCUUUCACCUCGGCCUUGAGGCUGUCCACCUCUUUGCGCAGGCGGCCAUUAUCAACGCGGAGCUUUCGCGUCUCCUCGGCUUCUGUCCGAGAUGCUAAGGCGUCUACAAUGCCCUGCAGUGCAGCCGCCGACUCCCUCAGCCUCUUUGCAAAGCCUCCUUUUAAGUUAGAGGAUUUUUGGGCCACCUCCACAAUGAGAGCUGCGCUUCGGCCAGCUUGUGCUCGAAGUUCCUCCGCACCCAACUUCGUGGGAUCCUCGGUGUGUACAUCUGAGGAAGAGGAUUCCUCGGAGUCCAAAACAACCUGAGGAGCGUCCUUUCGAAACGCUCGACUACGCAGCGAUCGCUCGAAGGCUUCCUCUCUGGCUUCGUUGGCCUUGGCUUUCAGCUCAGCCUUAGCCCGAGCAAGACCACUACCACGUCCUUUCGCGGUUUUGCCGCGAAUGGCAGGCUUGUUCUUCGCAGCUAACCUCGUCUCCGUCUCCGUGUCAGAGUCAGAGUUAAAAAUAGCAAGGCCCCCAACAAAAGAGCGGAAGA